GGGGGCCCGCAAGCGGUGGAGCAUGUGGUUUAAUUCGAAGCUACGCGAAGAACCUUACCAGGUCUUGACAUCUUGCGCCAACCCUAGAGAUAGGGCGUUUCCUUCGGGAACGCAAUGACAGGUGGUGCAUGGUCGUCGUCAGCUCGUGUCGUGAGAUGUUGGGUUAAGUCCCGCAACGAGCGCAACCCUUGUUACUAGUUGCCAGCAUUUAGUUGGGCACUCUAGUGAGACUGCCGGUGACAAACCGGAGGAAGGUGGGGACGACGUCAGAUCAUCAUGCCCCUUAUGACCUGGGCUACACACGUGCUACAAUGGACGGUACAACGAGUCGCGAACUCGCGAGGGCAAGCUAAUCUCUUAAAACCGUUCUCAGUUCGGACUGCAGGCUGCAACUCGCCUGCACGAAGUCGGAAUCGCUAGUAAUCGCGGAUCAGCAUGCCGCGGUGAAUACGUUCCCGGGCCUUGUACACACC
rnacentral:rRNA from 1 species